rnacentral:rRNA from 1 species
CAGCAGCCGCGGUAAUACGGAGGAUCCAAGCGUUAUCCGGAUUUAUUGGGUUUAAAGGGUGCGUAGGUGGCUUUUUGAGUCAGGGGUGAAAGACGGUAGCUUAACUAUCGCAGUGCCUUUGAUACUGAAGAGCUUGAAUGAACUGGAGGUAAGCGGAAUGUGACAAGUAGCGGUGAAAUGCAUAGAUAUGUCACAGAACACCAAUUGCGAAGGCAGCUUACUGCGGUUUUAUUGACACUGAGGCACGAAAGCGUGGGGAUCAAACAGGAUUAGAUACCCCGGUAGUCCCUGUCUCUUAUAA